rnacentral:misc_RNA from 1 species
UUCUUUUUUUUUUUUUUUCUUUUACUCUUUUUUUUUCUUUCCAUUUAAAUUCAUUACAGUAAAAAGAAGAGUAAAAGAAAAAAAAAAAAAGAGUAAAAGGUGCAACCUCCUGGGGAGGAAACUACAUUUGUGAAGAAUUGCAAGGAUCUUCUCUAAUUCUUCUUUUGCCUACACAUACAAGACUUUUUGGCCUCAUGAUACAACUUCAAUUUGCUAAAGGACUACAUAUUACUCUCUCCAUGAUGACCAGAGUCUGUUAGGGAUGAAGAUGCAACUGUCCUGCCUUCGCUUUCUGAUGAUGUUGUCGGAUCCAUAAUGCAUGCUACCCUCAGCCUUUGGCUGUUGUAGAAGUUGGAGUUGCCUUUGCAGGACCUCAAUCUGGUGUUCGAGAAGCUUUUUCUGAGCUUCCAACUCAGAGUUUGGUACACUGCCCAACCUAUCUCCAUAAUUUGCAUUGGCACCAGGUACCUGAAAGGGUACAAAGAUACAGUGUGAAAAUUGUGGUAGGGACAAGUUUGAAGGCCCAGCAUGGAAUGCAGACUCUUGCUGUGAUUGUCCUAUGAAGGCCUGUUCUCUACUAGACUCUCCAUUAGCAGCAUAAGCCAAAGGCCUUUGAGCUUGAGGAAGCAAGGUAUAUCCAGGAGACCAAACUAGAGUGUUUGCAGAAGGAUAAACAAAAGAUUUCUCAUAUACAGCGGCAGCAGUAGCAGCAGCUUGGAGCCUGGUCUGAUGCUGGCUCAAAUUAUCAUCUGGCAUACUGCCAACUGAGCCCUGCAGUCCUGUACUUGUGGUGCCGGUCCCCUGCCGAUGAGUAUCUGAUCGCGACCCAUGUUGUCCUCCAGCUGUACUUGCACCAUUCUCAGGUGGUACAACGAGGGCCCUGCAUGUAGGACAAGUAUGCCAAGUAUGCUGCCUCUCCAACCAUGAACGGAGACAAUGAACAUGAAAGAGAUGUCCACAGUUUAAUUUUUUGGCUGUUGUCAUCUCUUCACGACAAAUAAUGCAGGUUGCAUCACUUGCAUUGAGCUCUUCAGGUGUUGCAUCUGGAAACCGAUCAUUCAUAUUUGAAGUGAUCUUCCGGUAACGAAUGUAAUCAGCAACACGAAGUCUGAAAUUCCUGAAUGUCUCAUAGAGCUCCCUUAUUAAGUGUAAAGGUACACCAUAGUUCAUGAAAAUCAC